CGGGCUGUAGCUCAGUUGGUAGAGCGCACGGUUCGGGUCCGUGAGGCCGUGGGUUCAAGUCCCGCCAGCCCGA
rnacentral:tRNA from 1 species